GUGGGUGUUGACUGAGUCUCUGCUCUAGUGGGGCUGAUGUGGAUGGGAUGGGAGAGGGAGGCAGGGAUGAGGGCAAGAUUUCACGCAUCAAUUGUAUUUUGUGUAGCGAUGGCUCUUGCUUGGCUUAUUUGCUUCACUUGCAGAGAAAUCAUCGGGGAGCAGCAGCAGGAGGAGAAACUAGCAGACGCGGACCUGGGCAGCCUGGACAUCCUUCAAAGCACAGAUUAACAGUCCUCAGCUUUCUGCCUUCCACAUAACUGGCUGACCAAGAGAAAAGAAGUGGAGGGUCAGCGUCGGCUCACCUCACGUUACGGAAAGCGAGUGAGAGCGACGAGAUUGCAAGCAUUUUGGAUGCCAGGCAAGAG